CUCUGUCUCUCUGUCUCUCUCACUCUCUCUCUCUCUCCCUUCCCCUUCUUUGUGUCCACUGUCUCAGAUGAAGAACCUGCGCUCCACGGUGUCGCCAUGACAACGCUGGCGCACGUGUUCGUCCGGCUGCGGAAGGCCAUGGACCCCGAGGCGGCGUUGGCCGCCCGCAACCUGUUGCAGAAGCCGUGCGAGAGCAGCCCGUUCAUCAGGGAGGCCGUGGACCUGGCACUCAGCGCCGUGGUGCAGAGCUGCUCUCCCUGACAGGCCAUGCAAGUUCUGCUGGCUGGGGGACUCAGCCACCGAAGCGGUGCUGUGAGGAAAACAACUGCGCUUCAUCUGGGAGCUUCCUGCCUGCUCACCGGCAGGAGGGCCAUGACAGAGCGCUUCCUCACUGCCAUCAGCCGAUUGGCUCUGGAUGCUGCACAGGAAGUCAGGUUCCAUGCCAGAAACUGUAUAAAGUUUUUGGCCACCCAUAAAGACUGCAUCAGGAUGGUGGAAACAUUUCUGCCCCCGAAGGAUUGAUCAUCUGUUAAAGAUAUCAUCAUAAAUGGCAGGCAGUGCAAACUGUGGGCCCUUAUAUAUCCAGAUGUGUGCCACUCCAAUCAAGUUUCCCAAGGAUACUUGUCGCAAACAGUAUGCACCUGACAACAAUUUGGAGCACUACAGCAAAGGGUCCAAAUACGUUUAUGAAUAAGGCCACUACAUCAGCGACAUAGCUGAGGAAGAAGGGGAAAGCUCAUUCAACGACUCAAAAGUGUCAGGAAUGACCGAACCGGCUGAACGGAUGCGCAGGACAAGAAGUGCCUACCUGCUUUUCUACAUGCACAGACUCCCGGGCCUGGGUUGAUUGAAACCUCUCGCCAUGUGAGUGAUGCGUGGAGGCCUGCUGGUCUGCUUUGGUUUUGGGGCCCAUUUGUUCUGUCACGCUCCGUGAUUGGGGAAUGAGCUGUGGCUAAAUAACAUCGCAUAAUGUUUCCCUGCCUUACUGACGGCUGCUGCUGGGAGCCAACGCAAGCAGCCUGACUGCGUCGCUCGGCAGGGCCCUCGGCGGCGUGUGACGUCAUGCUGUUUAUAAAACUCUGGAUCUGCCAGGCCGAGCUCAUUUUCCUCGGCUCGCUCUUUUAAUUUCAAGCGGAGACCCUCCACGUUAGCGGUAUGCUCUCAAAUUUAGAUCCUAUGCUGGCAGGACUGAUAUGUGUUUAGAGAAGGAGUCACGGAGGAAGAGGAAGAGGAGUCAGAGAGGUUUGUGGGAUUGUAUUACUUUAACAAAACAGAACCUUCUCUUGAAAUGUUGUACCUAAACACCAACCUACAGGAUGCAGCUAAGGAGACAGAAGUCCAGUGACCUGCUGGAUUUACUGCUAAACACCUGGAUUUAGCAAGUGUUUCCUGCGAAACACCAGAGGAAUGCAAAUUGCUUGUGAACAUACCAACAAACAACUACUGUGUGUUUGCUCCAAGAACUAAAGGGAGUUUGAACUUUUAAUAAACGAACUCAUUUGUCA